UGAAAAGUCAAUUGCUUCUUUACUGAACAUGGAGAAAACUGGAGGAAUAAGGAUCUACAACAUCAACCCUAGGUCAAGGCGCGUUGCUCAGGAAAUAAAUCCAACCAUUUUCAAACUCAACACUGAAGGCAAUCCUUCAAAGAACAAAGAACUUCAUCAGAACCUCAGAGUAUGGCUCAAGAUCAUUCUGGGAACCAUUC
rnacentral:lncRNA from 1 species